GAGUGGCGAACUGGUGAGUAACACGUGGGAAACCUGCCCAGAAGCGGGGGAUAACACCUGGAAACAGAUGCUAAUACCGCAUAACAACUUGGACCGCAUGGUCCGAGUUUGAAAGAUGGCUUCGGCUAUCACUUUUGGAUGGUCCCGCGGCGUAUUAGCUAGAUGGUGGGGUAACGGCUCACCAUGGCAAUGAUACGUAGCCGACCUGAGAGGGUAAUCGGCCACAUUGGGACUGAGACACGGCCCAAACUCCUACGGGAGGCAGCAGUAGGGAAUCUUCCACAAUGGACGAAAGUCUGAUGGAGCAACGCCGCGUGAGUGAAGAAGGGUUUCGGCUCGUAAAACUCUGUUGUUAAAGAAGAACAUAUCUGAGAGUAACUGUUCAGGUAUUGACGGUAUUUAACCAGAAAGCCACGGCUAACUACGUGCCAGCAGCCGCGGUAAUACGUAGGUGGCAAGCGUUGUCCGGAUUUAUUGGGCGUAAAGCGAGCGCAGGCGGUUUUUUAAGUCUGAUGUGAAAGCCUUCGGCUCAACCGAAGAAGUGCAUCGGAAACUGGGAAACUUGAGUGCAGAAGAGGACAGUGGAACUCCAUGUGUAGCGGUGAAAUGCGUAGAUAUAUGGAAGAACACCAGUGGCGAAGGCGGCUGUCUGGUCUGUAACUGACGCUGAGGCUCGAAAGUAUGGGUAGCAAACAGGAUUAGAUACCCUGGUAGUCCAUACCGUAAACGAUGAAUGCUAAGUGUUGGAGGGUUUCCGCCCUUCAGUGCUGCAGCUAACGCAUUAAGCAUUCCGCCUGGGGAGUACGGCCGCAAGGCUGAAACUCAAAGGAAUUGACGGGGGCCCGCACAAGCGGUGGAGCAUGUGGUUUAAUUCGAAGCUACGCGAAGAACCUUACCAGGUCUUGACAUACUAUGCAAAUCUAAGAGAUUAGACGUUCCCUUCGGGGACAUGGAUACAGGUGGUGCAUGGUUGUCGUCAGCUCGUGUCGUGAGAUGUUGGGUUAAGUCCCGCAACGAGCGCAACCCUUAUUAUCAGUUGCCAGCAUUAAGUUGGGCACUCUGGUGAGACUGCCGGUGACAAACCGGAGGAAGGUGGGGAUGACGUCAAAUCAUCAUGCCCCUUAUGACCUGGGCUACACACGUGCUACAAUGGAUGGUACAACGAGUUGCGAACUCGCGAGAGUAAGCUAAUCUCUUAAAGCCAUUCUCAGUUCGGAUUGUAGGCUGCAACUCGCCUACAUGAAGUCGGAAUCGCUAGUAAUCGCGGAUCAGCAUGCCGCGGUGAAUACGUUCCCGGGCCUUGUACACACCGCCCGUCACACCAUGAGAGUUUGUAACACCCAAAGUCGGUGGGGUAACCUUUUAGGAACCAGCCGCCUAAGGUGGGACAGAUGAUUAGGGUGAAGUCGUAACAAGGUAGCCGUAGGAGAACC
rnacentral:rRNA from 1 species